rnacentral:rRNA from 1 species
UACGGGGGGGGCAAGCGUUGUUCGGAAUUACUGGGCGUAAAGGGCUCGUAGGCGGCCAACUAAGUCAGACGUGAAAUCCCUCGGCUUAACCGGGGAACUGCGUCUGAUACUGGAUGGCUUGAGAUUGGGAGAGGGAUGCGGAAUUCCAGGUGUAGCGGUGAAAUGCGUAGAUAUCUGGAGAAACACCGGUGGCGAAGGCGGCAUCCUGGACCAACACUGACGCUGAGGAGCGAAAGCCAGGGGAGCAAACGGG